GCCUAUUAUAAGAGUGUUUGUCCGUUUUAUUUAUACCAAAAGUUAGCCGGAAACUAGGCAAUAUUUCUGAUGAUAGAGUUUGAAAAAGGUACUUACGGGAAUUCCUGCCCAGUAUUGACUGUAGGUAAAACCAGAUUGAACGGCUGCCUCGAUACUGACAAUCCCAGUAAUUUCGGUACUGGUUUCAAAAUUGUCGGCAUAGUUUAUCACGAAAGCACACGCAAUCAUGACAAUUCCGAAGAAGACGAUACCACAUCCUAGCAGAACUAACGAGAAGAGAGCCGUUUCCGAUCGACGACGUCUUUGUGAAUGUCGCGGUUUGCCGGCGUAGUAAGGAUCCAUGACUUCACAGAUUUAUAGUUUCGAACGAAGACGAAAUAUGGGUGUAGUGCUGCUCAAAGCUUUCGUUAUAUACGAGCGCCUUUGGGCAUCUGAUGGGAAUGGAAUGAUCUAUGCUUCAUGUUAUUGGGUUGACCACUGAUUCGAAGCAGACACCCG